UUAUCAUAAUGUUUACAUCAAAUAUGCUAUAUAUUCGCGUUUUAUUUGCGUAUAUAUCAAACGUGUGUUUGUAACCUCCUUAGCCAGCGAGUGACUCGCGCUAGAACGGUCCGGGUUCAAGCUGAGGCGUCACGUGAUCGUCGUGACUGGUCACCCGCUAUAGAAAACGAAGUGCCGUAGCAUGAGCUAUGCUUUACUUAAAGAUUAUGCAAUAAAUUAACAUUUACAAUCUCUGGUAUAAUUAUUGGCCAUGUAAUGUAAUGAACAACAAUAUCUAUCGUUAGUAGUUACUAUGUAUCUUAUUCAAAAUUUUGUAACAAAAGUUUUGUAUAAAUCUAUAAUUAACAUCUACACGCUGUAAAUAUUAAAUCUCAAAAAUAUUAAUUAAACCAAAUCCACCAAAAUCUUUUGACGACCUACUAACGAACUGUAAGAUAAGUAGGUAGGGGAAAUUGUUGUACCUUGGACCUAGUUUUACCUCGAACGGUUGGUAUUAAUUCCACAUUACCACGGUUAUUACUUAAUUUAUAUAGUUUGAAACUUUAUUCUUAAUUACCAAAAUCAAGCUAUCAACGAAACUCGAGAGCGGCUGGUAUCUCAAGAAAAAAAUUAAAAUAUAAAUUGUGUCAUGAAAAAUCAGUAUUUUGAACUUUACAUCAAGGAUGAUUAUUUCAUGGUUUGCUAAUAGAUAGCAAGACUUAAUAGGUUAAGUGUAAGUUAAUUAGCUACUUCAUCGUAGGAUCAUUAGCUUAAUUGGAAGGGCUAUUACGAAGCUUACUUAUCGAUAAAGUUGCUUUGUUGUACCUCGAACACCGAAAAUAUGUUGUACCGUGGCCCGUUCUAGCUAGUACUGAAAAUAUAUAAUAUUUGCUGUAUUUCUAAUUAUUGGUUAUCUGCGUUGUAAAUUACCAAGUAAUCGAUCUUAGAAAGGACUCCUAAAAUGUUUUAAGCCAAAUUAAAAUAUGACCAUUACUAACUAUAUUUUUCUAAGGAAAUUUGUACUAAAUAAAUAUAUUGAAUGGCGUAAAUGUGCUAAAAAUAUCCGUGAUUUCAUAUUAAAUAUUAUUUGUAUAUUUAUAUCAUAAAUUUAGUCAAUAAAAUUAUCAUGUCCGAGGCACAACAGGAUAUGUCCGAGGUACAUCAGGGGUGUUGUUCCUUAGACACUUUUCCCUUUUUUUAAUCAACCUAUCGUAUCAAAAUAAAUAAUUCAAUCCUUUAGUUUUAUAUCGUCUUUGAUAGUUUGUUAAUAUAUCUUAUAAUAUUCGGAUAAAAAACAAUUCUGCAGCCUUAAGUUUUUUUUUUUCUAAAAAUCAGAAAAGAAAAAUCUGUCCUAGGUAGAACAGCUUCCCCUACUUAAAAGUGUAUAUCGAUCCAUCGGUCUAUCACUUACCUUCUAAGUUUUUAAACAAAAACUUGUUUAUAUACUAAUUUUUUUCUUACUUAACAUAAUACAAUUCAGUUUCUUCCAACCAGAUCAUAUUAACUUCUUACCAACAUCAGUUAAAACGGUGGACCUUGCGGUGAACUUGCCAGGCAGCUUUCAAAGUGACAUAAGAAGGCAAUCUAUAUCUAUAUAGAUAUGAUAUCUAACUGUAGUAUUUUUGUUAUCAUUCGCUCGUGCGUCUCGCUCGCACCAAUGCUUGUGGAGGAUAAGUACGAGCGAAAUGCACGCUCGAAUUGAUCAUUAAAUGACAUUAUUUAGAUAUCAUUUUGAUGUCAAAUAUUCGCUCAAAUUGGCCUCUGUAUUAUAAUAGAUAUAGCUUUAGCCAUGGCAAAUACGUUUUGCGGGCAAGUUGUCCGAUCGUUAGCCAGGUUCCGCAUUGGAAUCGUCGCCCAUUCAAACUUAUAAUGUAGUUGUUGGAUUCUGUUAUACCUUACGAUGCUUAUUUGCAAAGCGAAAUUUUGUAAACAGUUUCUAAUCGUGAGCUGGUUUUAUAUUUAUAUGUGUGUGAAUUUAUUUCUAACUCUUAUUUUCAUCUCACUUUUAAAGCGAAUAAGUCUAAAGGAGUUGUCGUUGAGUCUUUACGAAAGAGCCAGGUUUUGCCCACUUAGACUGACAGGCUCUUGGAGUUUCAGUUUUCCAGUAAAGUGACUGUGUGUUUUUCUCGUCAUUGUAGUAGUUCACACCCUUUUCAGAUGAUUAAAUUCGGCUCUACAAAAUACCGUUUAGUUAGUUAGAGUAGAUUUAUACUCCUCGUUUUCGGUUUAUCUGCCUCCACUCCAAACCGCGUUGCUGCCAUGGUAAACUUUCCUAUUAGUUUCAUUUGGUGCCUUUGGAUCAGCAUGGAAAGCGAGCGGUACACCCCGGCGUAGAAAUUGAUGAGUCAUAUUCGAGCCUAGUCAUUGACAUACGAUUAAAAUUUAGAUUUUAGACUACUGCAAAGAAAUUCAAACGUCGCAUGGUAUAAACUGUAUUGCCGGCCGGUGCCGGGGAAUCGGCACGGAGGAUUAAGUUUUAAUCGGCCAGGCGGGCGACGGACUCUGCGCUACGAAUGCAGUCAUCGAGUAAAUAACUGGUACAAUCAGUUUUGUAGGGACUUCUAGCAAAAGUUGAUUAUUCAUUACAUCGAUGAGUUUAUUCCAAACAUUUCUAUGCCACAACAGAGAUAUAAUUUUCUGUAUGUAAAAUAAUAUUUUACCCAAAAGGCCCAAAUAAAGCUUUUAAACAUUACUAACACUGCAACUAGUACAGCGUUAAGCGAUGCUGACGGGUCUGGCCGCCAAAAGUAGUAUUGUAAUGAACAGAAAACACCGUGUAGGUACUAACGCGUGCGUAAUGCAUAUAAAAUUUUAGAAUGCCUACCUGCGUGUACAUAUUUAAUAAAACGGUUGCUGUUCUUUAAGGUAAGGCAAUUUGUAGAGUCAAGUACCUAGUGAUUGAUAUUCGUAGCGUAGUUACACUUCUAUCAUCUCUCAUGUCGGACUCUCACAAUAACAUACUUUCUUUUUAGAACGUGACAGUCACAAAAGCAGGUGACAAAUGCGAAACCAUCUAUAAAUGACAUUCAGAUGACGACUGCUCGGCUACGGCUAGUUGACAAUGUUAGCAUCGCACUUACGACUUGGCACAGCGUACUUACAGCGCCUGUUGGACAGCGGUGCUUGAGGAGUAACUAUAAGCGGUAAGCGCGCCGUCGACACGCCGACGGCGAAAUGCUAUUGCGGUCAACGCAUCGGUUAACUUAGGCGGAGGGAAAACGAGGCGAUGCUGUUCCGAUGCCUAUAGUGUGCAUUACAGUAUGGAGUAUCCGGAGCGCGGAAUAAUAAGCGCGCCGGUUUGAGCAGGUGCUGAUCUGGUGCCUACCUUUUUGGUGUACUUAGGCCUAUAGGUCCGCUCUCGGAGCAGAGUCGAAUUUUAAAUUGUAAGUACUUAAUAGCAAGAUGUAAAGUUAUGACGAAAAUUGGUAAGUAUGUAUUUUAAUAUCUGUUAUGGCGCCCAAUAGCUUAGAUGAAUAGAUAUAUAACAAUUUGACAAUAUACUGUAACGUAUCUUUAACCAGUGCGUAACCUUGUAACACUUUGGGGUAUCCACCCAGUGUUAUAAACAGCUGAGUAGCAUGCUAUAUAGGUACUUUAUAGGUUAGAGAUUAGUAUGUUUGUUUUGGUAAGAUUUGGUAGUUGAAAAUGUAGUUGAAAUGUCUUCGACACGGAUGUCAUAGUGGGUCAGUCAAGGACUGAGACCUGUAGUGAUAUUUUCAACUUUACAUAUACGCUUUUAGCUAUAUUGAGUGGACAAAACUUACCGGAGCGGUAGGUCGGUCUGUGCGUUCACUCCGUUGCAUUUUGCGCAUCCAUGUCGUGUUCCUGCGUUGUGCUAGGACACAGGCACUUUGUUUGCGUUGGGGUAUAUACAUUUCACAAUUGAAAUAAAUUUUAAAACUUAGAAAUACCACGUAAUUAACAGUAUGAAUUCGAUAAAACCGAGCAGUUGUUUAUUUCAGCGGUAGACACUGACGGCUGUCAAUGUCAUUUAUUUUUUUUGUCCAUGGUUCCGUAACAGACGGUCGGUCACACUUGUUGUAUGACAAUAAACAUAUACUUGUGGUUCUUUUAUCUUUUUUAUAAUUUCCAAUUAUUAAUAAAGUCCGUAUUAUUAGCAUCCAAAAUGAGUAACUUUUUUAUUGUUGAUGUUUCGAAUUAUUCCGAGAGUCAAACCGGUCAGUCGUGGUAUCCAUUGAAUGGGAAGGUUUUCAUUCAUCAGUUUGUCUGUGGUUUCUCGGAUUGGAAUUUUGAUAAAUCAUUGUUCGAUCGAUCUUCGAGAUGUGAAGGAUCUUAGAAAAUCUUUGGGCAAUCAAUCUUAGGGCUCGUCCCAAAAUGUGCAUAAUUUAGCGUCUUAGAGCCUACCUAAAAUGGCGGCUGCUAAUCUUUUCCCUUCAAUUUAACAUAACUUGGUGAGUUUCCACACUUUUUAAAUAUAUAAAGAAGGAAAGGCGGAGGUAGUGUGUCCUUUCGCAAAUGGGUUAAUAUAGUGUUUUAUGUGGAUUUUCCAGCAAAACCUAAUGUAACGUCAACCACCUCUUCGUCUUGCCACGCGGUCUGCAGACGCCGUCGUUGGUAUAGGAAAUAAUGGACCCGGCAUAAACCCCGGUAAGUCAUUUAAUCGCUUCAUUACCGUAAUUUAAAUCGCGCGUUUAAAAUAUAAUUUUUCUAUAAAACUAAACGUGUUAAAACAUAAUUUUUUUUAACCUAGAACAUUUUCUUUGUUCUUAGGGUUUUUCUGGACCCUGGAUUUUCUAAGGCUGUGCCAUCCGGUGGCAGCGUUCUUCUUGGCAGUGUCCGUGAAGUUAAGACUUUUAUGAUAUACCUUUAGUUAAAUAUGGACCCUUUACGCUGAACAGGUAACCUGUAAUCCCUGUGAGCAAUUGCUUACUGCUAAACAUCCCCGGAGGUUGGGGCAUAACUUUUACUGUAGACAGUGUUAUGUUAGGAAGACAAAUUUUUAUAUUGUUGUCCGUAGACACAGAGAUGCCUAUGAUGUAUUUAGUGUAAAUUUCAAGAAAUAGUGGUGUCACUAAGAAGUAUUUAGUAUUACUUAUUUACUAAUAAAUAACUCGUGUUGACCAUAGCGGGUCAUAUAUAUUUAAGGAAUAAAAGGUGUGUAUUAAAUAAA